rnacentral:misc_RNA from 1 species
CCUUUCAACUGCAGCAGCCUCGGCUGUGAGUACUCGCACUCCGUUCGCCUGUAUUUCUGCCUGGAUCCAGUACUAUUAUUCCUCGGCAUGGCUGCCGCCAGUAUGGACCAUCAUAAAACCUUUUGUAGUUGCAAUCAGCGUCGAAAAACCAAUAAUUAUUA